GUGAGAAACUCCUUUUUUCCUCAUUCCACUAUUAUUAUUUUAAAAAAUUUUAUUGGAGUAUACUUGACUUAAUGUUAUUAUCAGGUUCAGGUGUACAGCAAAGAGAAUCAUUAAUCCAUAUAUCCAUUCUAUUUUCUCAUAUACGUUAUUCCAGACUAUUGAAUAGAUUUUCCUGUGCUAUGUAGUAGGUCCUAGUUAUGUAGAGUAGUACGUGUAUAUUAUUACCAUCCUUCUAAUUUAUCCCUCCCUGCCAUGGGAUUCUCUAUGGUAACUGUAGUUUGAUUUUGAAAUCUGUGAGCUUGUUUCUGUUUUAUAAUUAAGUUCUUUUGUAUCAUUUUUUAUUAGACUCCACAUAUAAGUAAUAUCAUAUGAUAUUUGUCUUUGACUUACCUCACUUAACGAUAAUCUCUAGGUCAUCUAUGUUGCUGCAAAAUGGCAUUAUUUCAUUCUUUUUUUUUUUUUUUUUUACAGCUGAGAAAUAUUCCAUUGUAUACAUGUACCACAUCUUCUUUAUCUACUCCUCUGUCGAUGGACAUUUAGGUUGUUUCCAUGUCUUGGCUAUUAUAUAUAGUGCUGCAAUGAACAUUGGAGUACAUGUAUUUUUUGAGUCAUGGUUUUCUCUGGAUAGAUGCCCAGGAGUGGGAUUGCUAGAUGAAAUGGUAAUUCUGCUUUUGGUUUUCUGAGAAAUCUCCAUACUGUUUUCCAUAGUGCGUAUACCAAUUUACAUUCCCACCAACAGUGUAACUGGGUUCCCUUUUCUCCACACCUUCUCCAGCAUGUAUUGUUUAUAGACUUUUUGAUGAUGGUCAUUCUGGCCAGUGUAAGGUGGUACCUUGUAGUGGUUUUGAUUUGCAUUUCUCUAAUGAGUGAUGUUGAACAUCUUUUCAUGUGUUUCUUGGCCAUCUGUGUGUUUUCUUUCUGUUUAGAUCCUCUGCCCAUUUUUUGAUGGCGUUGUUUGUUUUUUUGGUAUGGAGCUGCAGAAGGUGUUUAUAAAUUUUGGAGAUGAAUCCCUUGUCAGUCAUUUCAUUUGCAAAGAUUUUCUCCCAUUCUGUGGGUUGUCUUUUUGUUUUGCUUAGAGUUUCUUUUGCUGUGCAGAACUUUUAAGUUUAAUUAAGUCCUAUUUGUUUACUUUUGUUAUUAUUGUCAUUACUCUAGAAGGUGGAUUUGAGAAGGUAUUGCUGUGGUUUAUGUCAGAGAGUGUUUGGCCCAUUUUCCUCUAAGAGUUUUUAUAUAUCUGGUCUUAUAUUUAGACCUUUAAUACAUUUUGAGUUUAUUUUUGUAUAUGAUGUUAGUGUUCUAAUUUCAUUCUUUUACAUGUGGCUGUCCCGUUUUCCCAACACCACUUACUGAAGGGACUGUCUUUUCUCCAUUGUGUAUUCUUGCCUCCAUUGUCAUUGAUUAGUUUACUGUAGGUGCGUGGGUUUAAUUCUGGGCUUUUUAUCCUGUUCCACUAAUCUAUAUUUCUGUCUUUGUGCCAGUACCAUAUGGUUUUGAUGACUGUUGCUUUGUAGUAUAGGCUAAAGUCAGGGAGCCUGAUUCCUUCAGCUCCAUGUUUCUUUUUCAGGAUGUCUUUGGCUAUUCUGGGUCUUUUGUGCUUCCAAACAAAAUUUAAAAUAUUUUGUUCGAGGUCUGUGAAAAAUGUCCUUGGUAAUUUGAUGGGUAUUGCAUUGAAUCUGUAGAUUACCUUGGGUAGUAUAGUCAUUUUGAUAAUAUUGACUCUUCCAAUCCAAGAGCAUGGUAUGUCUUUCCAUCUAUUUGUGUCAUCUUUGAUUUCUUUCAUCAGUGUUUUAGAGUUUUCAGAGUUGUACAGGUCUUUUGUCUCUUUAUGAAGGUUUAUUCCUAGAUAUUUUAUUGUUUUUGAUGUGAUGGUACAUGAGAUUGUUUCCCUAAUUUCUCUUUCUGAUCUUUCAUUUUUAGUAUAUAGAAAUGCAGUUGAUUUCUGUGUAUUAACCUUGUGUCCUGCAACUUUGCCAAAUUCAUGAGUUCUAACAGUUUUCUGGUAGUGUCUUUAGGAUUUUCUGGGUUUAGUCUCAUGUCAUCUGCAAAUAGGGAUAGUUUUACUUCUUCCUUUCCAAUUUGGAUUCCUUUUCUCUCUCUUUCUUCUCUGAUUGCCAUGGCUAGGACUUCCUAAACUAUGUUGAAUAGUAGUGGUGAGAGCAGACAUCCUUGUCUUGUUCCUGAUCUCAGCAGGAAUUCUUUCAUUUUUUCACCAUUGAGAAUGAUGUUAGCUCUGGGUUUGUCAUAUAUGGCCUUUAUUAUUUUGAGGUAGGUUCCCGCUAUGUCCACUUUCUGAGGGUUUUUUUUUUUUUUUUUAUCAGAAAUGGGUGUUGGAUUUUGUCAAAGGCUUUUUCUACGUCUGUUGAGAGGGUCAUAUGGUUUUUAGUAUUCAGUUUGUUAAUGUGUUGUAUCACAAUGAUUUAUUUGUGGAUAUUGAAGAAUCUUUGCAUUCCUGGGAUAAAUCCCACUUGAUCAUGACAUACAACCCUUUUAAUUUAUUGUUGGAUGCUAGUAUUUUGUUGAGGAUUUUUGCAUCUAUGUUCAUCAGUGAAAUUGGCCUGUAAUUUUUUUGUGUGUG
rnacentral:lncRNA from 1 species